GAACUGCUGCAUUGAAGCAGUAAAUAUCUAGAAACAAUCCUCCUCAGAAGAACUAAAAAUCAAAUGCACUACAAACAUCAGCCUAGGCGGGAAGAUUCUUGAAUUAUCCUAAUGCAGCUACAGGUGUCAAAGGAACGAAGUGAAAACCAAGGAAAAGAGUAGAGCUUCAUAAUUUCCCCUCUACUUUGCUUGAGGGUGAGAAGCAAUGAACUCAACAGCAAGAUUGAUCGUGCUGAUUUUGUCUGCCUCAUUAUCAGGUAUCUCAAACCCAAAUUCUUCUUCAAGGGCCAUGACAACCUCCACAGUGUCCAAACUAUCUAAUCCAAGAUCAUUUUGAAAAUGCGCGUCUGGGGCAACCUGCAAAUUAGAAAAAAUGAGAUGUUAAAAAGGACAAAAACACUCUAAAAGAGCAAAAUUCUAUAUGCAACCAAAAGAACUUUCUAGAAGUUACCCUCAAAAUAACCUAAAAAUUUAUAUUUUUUCAUCAUUACAAAAUAUAUUGAAGAUAAGAAUAGAGGGAAAAAAACAAGCUCGGAAUAUCUUCUUUCCAAGUAGUAGAAUACACAACAGUCACAGUCGUAUCAAUUGAAGUGAUCCACUUGAACAUGAAGAAAGCUUCUUUCCAAGUAGAUAUAAAAUCACACUUCUACAACUACAACUAGCAAUUUAGGUUGAUAUAAAGCUUAUAGAAUGUAUCCUUGUUUGUAUGUAAAUCACACUAUUAGUACUAAAACUUGGACUAGCAAUGCAGCCAAAGCUAAUAGUUGUGCCUGACCAUAACUCUUCAAAUUGCUAUUAGCAAGUAACAGAAGCUUCAAGCCCCAUCCCACCUAUAUCCCAAUUAAGAAAACCAAAUAGGUUGCUCUCGGGAUGAAUGUAAUGAAAUAACAUAAAAUCAAAAGAGCCAGAAAGAAAUCAGCUCUAAAAAAAAUGAAACUGCAUCAUAGACCAAACAUAAUUUUCUCCCAUUGACCUAUGAGCAGCUUUGUCCAUUCAGAAUCUACCUCAAGUUCACAUUGAUUUCCCCUCUUAAAGACAUAAUUUGGUAACAUUUAACCAGAGCUACAAAAAGGACAUCUUUUUAUUAGUUCUCAACAUUUAUGUAGUAAAAUUAUCAUAUCAUAAAAAAAAAAAAAAAAAAAAGAUAAAUUUAUUCCCAAAUAAUUGAAAGGUAGGUCAUCCAAUUGAUUUAGGAGAAAUGCGACUCCUUUAGGGUUGAUCAAUCACAAAGUAAGCCGAGACAAUCCAAAAUCCAAACCCAUGUUUUCCAUAAUUUGUCAUGAAAUAUUAAAGAAAAAGGUAAACCUAACGGGGUCUAUACGGAUGCUACUUUCACAUUGAUGAAUCCAUUAUCAUAUUACCAUUCAUUUAAUUGAAAAAACAAAUCAUAUGUUUCAUUUUCCACAAACUGUAUAAUGCACAAAUAAUCUACACUCCAAAAUUUGAAGAAAAUAAACGAAAAGGGAAAAGUGCGAAGUGAACAAGUAAGGACCUUGGAAGGAUCACCUUUCUGGAAGUUUUUGACGACGGAGAUGACGCGAUCGGUGACCUCAGACUUGUCGAGGAAAGAGCCCUUGACCUCGUCGGAGAACCCGCGACAUAUGGCGUUAAAGGUAAGAGCGAAGAUCCCGUUAUUGAUAGGGUUGGGGUUACGAGGCAGGGCCGUUGCGUUCACCCGCAGGUGCUUAAGCAAAGCUCCUCUCACCGCCGCCAUUUCAAUAAGUAGCCCUCUUCUCUUCUUUCCAGUGCAAAUGGGAAGACACCUUUUCUUUUCUGUUUUCGCUCUCUCUCAACUACGAGAAAUGGGAACCUUUGUAGCUUAGGAGGCGAGUAAAAGUGAGAAAUAAAUGAGGAAUACGACGUCGUACUUUCUUGUUUUAGCCCCUUUUUUUAUAUAUUUUUUAUAUUAUCUUUUCUUUUUGCUUUGCCAAGAGGGCAAGACUGUUAAAAUUGUUGAUCAUUCAUCUUCAUAUUGUGGAUUGCAUAUCGUUUUAGUCUUUAUCAUUAAAGCUAAAUUACAGAUUAGGAGAAAGAUUGUAUGAAAUUUUAUAUUUCAUAUUAGUUGUAUUAAGGCACUUUCACAAGUCAUAUGUUUCGGGUGAAUUAUAUGAAGAGUUGAUAUUGGGCUAUUAAGUUGGGCUAUUAGGCUAUUGGAGUUAGUAGAAUGUUUAGUUCACUAAAAUUAGUUGAAUUGAAAUUUUGUUAACUUAGUCAAUAUCAUGAUUAUGUUAAUGGUUGCUGCUAAUUAUUAGGAUUAGUUACAAUUGCUUAGUAGAUAUUUAGAAAGAAUACAACACUUGUAAUCAUCAUUUUAGAAAAUAAUAUAAUUCUUGAAUCUUUUUUUUUCUCCUUUUGUCUCUUUUCUCCUUUUCUCUUAUUCUUUCUUCUACCAUUCAUGACUAUGCAUGCUUAUUGAGCUCUACAUCAGCUCAUUCUCUUACAUUCCAAUCAACUUGUAUAAUUGGUAUUAGAGUUUAAGAUUCUAGCAUAGCUAACGAUGAGAUUAUCCAAUUAGAGCAAGAUAUUAUUUAGCUAGGAAAAGGGAUCGUAUGCUUGCAAUCCAACAUUAAUAGUUGGAUGGAACAUUUGCUUGAAGAAUUACGUAUGGACAUUCAAACUUAGAUGGAGAGCUUUUAUAUUAGGAUGACCAAGAUGUUUGAUGAAAUGUUUACAAGAAUGUAAAGUGAAAUCGUGGGUGAAGAGGGUAAAGACCAUGUGGUGGACUUGAUGGGAAAUCAUCCAACCAAACAAAACACAUCCAUGGUAGAUCAUGUGUUGGACCUGAAGGAAAACCAUUCCACUGAACAAAAGACUUUCAUGGUAAUCUCUACCAAUCUUUGUCCUUUGUCUUCUUCAUUCACUUUUCGCAAAUUUACCCCUAGAAAUCUUUUUUUCCUUUAAAUUCACCACCACAAAAACUUAUCUCAAACGUACUAGUACCUAAAAUGUUUAAUGAGUCUAAGUCUAAGGGUACUAAAUUAAAUAUUGAAAUGGUUAUAGGACAUGAUAGGUACCCAAUUUCUUGUUCUUUUAUGUUAAAAAUGAUGCUAUCUUUUGUUGAUUAUAAUGCACAAAAUUCAAACUAGGCUGUUGAUGCUUGUAGGAAGAUUGAAAUGGCUUUUACAAUAGUAUUUAUGGCUAGGAAUAAGUUGAUUAUUGUUCAUGACCCAUACAGGUUUAAGCUUUUAGUAAUUGAAAAAAGCCAAGGUAAUGGUUGGUGAGUUUUAUUUUAGAAAAAUUAAUUUUGAUUUAGUUAAGGGUGUUCUCUAUUUUGUUACUAAGAUUAAUGGCCACCUUUCACCCUUGCCAUCUAUGGUCGCAAUCACUGCACUCUCUAGUUUGAAUUUUCUAAGUGAAACUUGCCUAGUUGAUAUUACUGUUAUUUAUUUAGUAUCCAAAUACUCUCUCAAUUACUUUUAUUUCUCAGAGACAUACACUAUUGGUUUAGUUACAAAAGAGCAAGCUAGUUCGUUUGCAUUAAUCUUACCAGAAUUAUCAAUUCAUGUGUUAUUAAGCACUUUCGAUUACCAAUUGUUAAGUUUGUAUUUGUUUGUAAGAGGUUUAAAAACCAAAUGCUAUUGUUUAAGGAAUUUUUACAUGGGGUAGCUCCACUAUUGACUACUAUAUAGAAGCUUCAAUCUUAAUACCAACCAUAAUUUUCUUAUUGCUUUAAGGAAACUAUUGUCAAAGUUGAGUUUGAUGAUGCCAUUACAGCUUUGGACCCAGUUGACGCUCACACAUCAAUCAUGUUCUUUCAUCCACUUAUGACUAGCAUUUGGUUCACUUUUUCAGUACAAUCAUAAAAGUACCUAAUGUCAUAUAGGACCUUUAUAAAGCUUUCAAAAUCCAUAACCCUAACAACAUUUUGCUAGGCUUUUAUAGCAAUCUCAAGGUUUAUUUGCACAAAAAACUCUAAAGAUCAUAGAUGUUGUUCUUUCAAUCUAUAAUAACCAAGGUGGUUAUGAUCUGUUGGUACAAACACAAUAUCAAAUUAGAGCAACUAAGUAAGUUAAUGUUGCACUAACUACAUGCAAUGAUUUAAAGUUAAAAGGUCUUGCUAUUAUCGGAGGUGUAACAUUAAACACAGAUGCUGCUUAAGUUGCUAAAGCUAAAUGCCCAACAAAGGUGGUUGGUGCUUUUGUUAUGAUGAAUGGAGAUAUCAAGAAUCAAUUUAUGGAAACUAAUGUUGGGUCUUAUACAAUAUACAAGUAAGGAGUUAGCAAAAACUAGCUAUAAAGAAAUGGAACUUGUUGCUCCAUUAUGAACACAAUAAGAAAGCAUAAGAGUCAUGCUUAGUUGGCAUUUUGAAAACCUCAAAUUGGCUAUUCCAAAAAUGACUUGGAGCUUGAAGUCACAAUUUUUACAUUGACUUGAAGGAAGUGGAAGAGAGAAGUGCAAUUAAGAAAGCUUCUAGAGAAAGAUCUGAUGAGCUAGAAAAUUUUUUUUAUAUAAUAAGCAUCUUACAUGGCAUUUUGGAACAAGCUCAUUGGCUUUUUUAGAUCUAGGAUUUUCCUAUAAAUAGGAUUAGAAGGUGCACUAACAAGGGAGUUACAUUUUCUGCAAUUUAAAUUUUUACUUGUGCUUUUUUUUUUUUUUCAUUUCUAAGUAGUUUUCUCCACUUUCUCGUUUUGGAAGUUGUUUAGGAGAAAAUUCCUUUAUAUUUUCUUGCAUUUUUCUUUCAAGCACUUUAAUUUUCUUACACAUGUAUUGUUUAUUUAAUGCAAUUUACAAAUUUCAUGCAAUUUUUAUUCAUUUCCAUGCAAUUUUCAUUGAAAUUUCAAAGUUAUUUGGCAGUUUUCAUUCUCAACAUAGUUAAGGUUUUUCGUUGUGAUCACUGAGUUGUAGAUUCACUUUUCUUUUGAAUUUUUAUAGAAUAAUCUUCACUCAUAGCACUAUAAAUAUAAAAAUUUUUAACUUUAAAUUCAUUAUAAUUUUUUUUUAAAAUUUUCAAAGUCUUAGCUUAGUUGUUAACAACAAAUGAGGCAAUAAGUAGUGACAGCACUUAUGGUGGCUUUCCUCUUUGCUAGGCAGUAGUAAACUCUUUUUUUUAUUCUUUUUUUUAAUUUUAUUUCAUGUAUCUAGUUAUAUAUUUACAAUUUCUUGUACUUUUAUUCAUGCUUUUAAUUGCCGUUUGACUUAUUUACAUGUUAAUUCCUUUGUUUUCUCUAUUUUGGUCUUGAAUUUCAUUUAAGUUCAUUGGACUUAUUGUUUAUUGUUUUAAGUUAAUUCUUUUUGUUGAUUCUUUGAAGUUCGCUUUUUGAUUUUGAUUACUUUAAUUCAGUUUUACUUCAUUCCUUAAAUUAAGCUUUAGAUCUAAGAUAUAAGUAACUUUAAUUUCAAAUUAUAUUUUGAGUUUUCAUUCUUGGUUUUAAAUUUUUAUUCAAUUUUCAUAUUAUUUUAAUAAUUUUUUUUUAUUUCAACUUAUAUCUAGGUUAGUUUAUUGUCUUUUAAUGAGUUUUACAUCAAAAACUGUAGGCCUUAAGUUCAGUAAUUUCAAUUCUAGCCUUUACAAAUGUUUUUUCUUUACUAGUUUUAGUUGUGCAUUUUCUAUUUUUGUCAUAUGAUUGCCGAUUGUACUUAGUUUGAUUUUAAUUCUCUUGCAUAUUAAUUUAAUGUUAUGUUGAUACAUUCUUAGAGUGGUUUACUUAUAGUUUUUUACUUGUGCUUUUACUUGUUCAUUUACUUGUUUGUGUUUUUAUCAUGUUUACUUGCAUUGUUCUACUUACCUUGUUACUCUCAUGUUUUUACUUUGCUUUGUUUAGUAUAAAUGUAAUGUAGAUUAAACUUCUUUAUUUUGGUCAAACUAAUUAUAGCAUGAAAAUGUUAUCCUUUGAUACUUAAACCUAAUCAAACCUUAAAUCAAUCCUCAAGGGAAUGAUACUUAACUCACUACUCUAUUACUUAAAUGACUUGUGCAAUUGCAGUCCAAUUGAUAUAUUAAUAAAACUAUUGUUUAAUAUGUUAAUUUAACAUAUGAAUUUAAUAAAAAAUAUUAUAUUUUUUUAUAUAACUAAGAUGUAAUUUAUAUUAAAAAGUAAUAUUUUUAUUAAUUAUACUAAAUUAAUAUUAUAUAAUUAAUUUUGGAUUGAACUUAGUCAAGUCAUAGUUAGGAUCAAAAGUAAUAAUUUGAUGUUGGGUAAAAUAUUUUAUGAGUCGAGUUACAGUCAAACAGGUGAAAAUUCAUCUUAACUCGACCUGUUGCAAUCUCUAACCUCUUUUUCCUGCUUUUUUUUUAGGUGAGAAGAAGCUCUUCCAUCACAUCUAUCACUUUUUAAGUUCAUGGUCUCUUAUGUAUUAAUGUACUUUUUUUGUUUUUUAAAAUAGUUCAACCAAAGUUUUAGAGGGUCUACCAAAAGAGAGAAUUUAAAGUUAAAUUCUUUUUUGGUCCAACCCAUUUGUAAAGGUGACCACUGUUGUUAUUUGUUCUAAGUCUUUGAUUUGAAAAGCUUCUGAAUUGAAAUACAUCACAAACUCUUUUAGAGUUUUAAUAGGUUGUUGCUUCACAGCCAUCAAGCUCAGUGUUGUGUUUGAAAAAGGAAUGUCCAAGCUCUUUAAAUAAUUUGAUAGUCCUCAACUCAAGACUUGAAUACCAAGCAUGGUCUACUUCUUUAAGUCUAGCUAGGAAUGCUUUACAUAUAACAUCUUAUAUGCCUUUAUGAUCGACAUUUUGAAAUUAGGUGGAGGUAGAGCUCGGCCAAUCUUUUCGCUAAAAAGAGAUGUUUUUAGAAAUUUCAACUCCUCAAUUAAUUGUGAGGUUUUGUUUUUUGUUUUCUUUUCCAUUGCUUCCAUCCGAGCUUCAAGUUCUUUGUUAUUUGCUAGCUUGGGUGUAACUUGCUAAGUCUUCUAGGAUGUGUGAGUUUUAGUGGUUGAAGAAUGGUUGGUUUUUGAAAUUUUUUUUUCUUAUGGGAUCGAGUAGUUAGCCUUAUUAUCGUCAUUAUAGUUCAAUAUUUCUUAGGUGGUUAGGUUUCUUUGAGUUGUAGUUGGUUCUUUUAAAGAGUGAGGUACUAUGAGGCUUUGGAUAAGAUUUUUCAAGCUUUAGAGUUAUUGGUUUAAAGUUUUGAACUAAUCCAUGGUGGGAAUUAGAGGUAAGAAAAAAAUUUAAAAAGCCUAAAAAUUAAUUCAAAAUGUAAUGUCUAGUUCAGUUUGGAUCGAAUUUUUUUAUUCGGUUUACAUUAAGUCCAUAUAUUAAAUGUAUAUAUCAAAUUCAGAUUGGAUUCCAAAUUGAGAUGUGAAAAACUAAAAAAAAAAAAAAGAAUCAAAUUAUAUAUUUUUAUUAGUUUUUAUAUAUUUUUUAAAUUUUUAUAAAACAAAAAUACUUAUUUUAUAUCUAAAUAUAUUAAAAAUCAUAUUAAAAAUAUAAAAAUAAAAAAAAUUAUUUUUAAAAAUUGAUGAAUUGAAUUGAAACGAACGAAUAGAAUUCGAUUUAGAUAAGAUUGGUUUCAAGAAAAGGUUAGUUUGGAUUUGAAUCAGAUUUUAAAAAUUCAUUAUACUAUGUAUUAUUCAAAAAAAUUGAACUGAAUUAUAUUUAAUUCAAGCCAUUAUCACCUCUAAUGGGAAUAGGUUAGGGUGAUCUUAGUUUGGUUGACUAAGCUACGUGUUUGACGUUUCUACUAUAACAAGAUACCUUCUUCCCUUGUUACUCUCUUCCGAGGUACCAUUCCAAAAAAGCUAAAAUAAACCCCAUUUCCUAUCAUGCCAAAGUAUUUGUGCCAAGCUCAGUUUAGAGGGCAAGAACCUAAAAUCAUAAGGUCUAAGGUCAGUUAAAAGUAAAAGUUAAAAGUCCCUUCGACAUUGUACUUUAACACUCAAAUCAAUACUCGUAACAGGAAGAGUGAUAAAGCAUAAAGAGAGAGAGAAAGAAAGUGAGAAUCAAAUGCUAGUACUUGGGUGAGAGAGUCUAUUUAUACUUGUAAAUGAUGUGACCAAGUUAGGCUAACCCAACAUAGGGAAUCAAUUAGGGUCGAGCAAGGCGCAUUGAUUGCUAAUGUCUAGAUGACACAUCAACUCGAUCACACAUCUAUUAGCUGGAUGGUCAUGUUGGAUAGGCUGAAACUAGCUCCAAUAAAUUAAGUCGAUCUACCACGUCAAUUUAGCUCAAAUAAUCAAAAUAUCUUUACUAUUUCAUUAAGUCACGAUGAUUUUAACCUAUGAACUAUAAAUUACCUUCUUUAUAACUUUUUCCUUUGUUGUCAAGAACAUUACAACCAAUGUCCUACCUAUAUUAGAAUUUGAUCAUCCUAUUUUAUCCAUGACAUGACUUUUUUUUUUCUUAUUUUUACCUGUACUAAUUAGUGUAUAGUCAAAAAAACCUAAAACUAAAAAACCUUAUAAAUUAUCCUUACUAAUUAUUAAUUAUGUUAAGUUUAUUUUUAUCUUCAUUUAUUAGUAAAAUUAUGUCCAUAAAUAUUUAAUAAUUCAAAAAAUAAUGUAUAGAAAAAAUAAAUACUAUAUAAGCUAAAAAAUAAAUUUAAAAAAUAACUAAGUAAAUAAAUUUUUAAGUUAAUUAUCAAUUAAUUAAUUAAUUAAUUGAUAAAAAAUAUAUACAUAAAUUUUUAUUAAUUUUUUAGAACUACCUGUAAGUGAAUACUUAUAUAAAUUCAUUAAAAAAUGUAAUAAUUAUCAUAAAUAAUUAUUAUUUUUUAUAAAUAUAAAUUAAUUUUAUUUAUUAAUAUAUCAAGAAUUAUAUUAAUAUAGACUAAAGUUAAUAUAAAUUAAUAAAAAAACUUUUAGUAUUAACAAACUUUCAAUUUGAAAAACCAAUCUCACCUUACACCAAACUUGGCCUAAAUGUUAAAUCUCAAAUAUAUUACAAAUUAAACCGGUACAUUAUAUAACAACUUUAACUAAUAUCUAAUAUCAUAAUGUUUAGAUUCAUAAGCCUAUCGCUAGAUAUGCAUUUAAGGUGUCGCCAUCAAUCUUCUUUACUUAAGUGUGAUUAAUCAUUUGAUUGAAUCUAUGCCUUUUUAAAAAGAUAUUCUAAGCUUGAUUUGAGUAUCUUUAAAAGGUUGAUUUUAGUCCAUGAAAUCAAAUCUAAAUUCAGGAUUACGGUUAUGUGUGAGAAAUGUUAUAGCACCUUCACAACGCUCAUAAAAAAAAUAUAUCAAUUUGAUUUUGUAUUAUCCAAGCCUUAAAACAUGUUGGUAAUUUAACAAGUAAUUUAAGUAGUAAAAAUUAAUUUUAAGUUACUCCAAUCAUUUGGCAAUAAUUUAAGAUAAUUUUCUCACCUCAAAAGUAUUAAUAAAGACUAAUAUUUCACUCGAAGAGGUUUCGUUAUUAGAUUCAUUAAUAUCUUUUUCCAAAAAAUUAAUUAUUUGAAAACAAUCAAAUAAAAUCCUUUAAUAAUUUGGUAAGAUUUUAUUUAAUGCAUAUCCUCCAAUAGUUUGGUUAGAUUUUUAUUUGAAAAUCUUAUCAUAAAAUUUUAAAAAGCGUCAUUAAACAUUUCAAUAGUUUGAUAAAAUUUAUCUUGAGAUUUAAAUCCUCUAAUUGUUUGGUAGGGUUAAAAAAUUGUUUUUCAUAAAAAUUUAUUAAAUCCUCUAAUAGUUUGGUAAUGCUUAAUUCAAUAUUUAAAUCCUCCAAUUAUUUGGUAAGAUUAAUUUAAAAAUAAUUGUAUUUAAUUUUCUUAUCAAAUCAUUUUUUAAUGUUUAUAUUGGGGCACAAAUAAUUGCAACAUUUUCAUAAAAUGAUGUACAUAAUAGAAUAGAUAAAAGAAAAAAGAAUUAAGUGAAAAAAUAAAUGAAAAAAGAAAGAAAAAUACCAAACUUUGUACCACAUCUCAACUUGAAUUCGUUUGGGAUGGAUAUCAAACUUCAUUAAUCCAAAGCUUGGGCCUAAGCAAAUUGUGAAAUAAACAUGGCCAAAGUCUCAAUCAAUGCCAACCCAUUUUUCUUUUAUUGUUUCAUUGGACUUUCGCUCUUUAGUUUCUUUUUGUCCUUUUUCUAGCCUUUACUUUGUGCAAACUUAAGCUUAUUUCUUCAUAAAACAUAGCCACCAUUCUCAACCUUUAGCCGCCAUUCAUGAUUCUCUUUCUCUUUUCCUUUCUUUAUUAAGCAAUCCUAUAUGUUGUUUCACAAAACCAAAAAAUUUUUUACCGUCGAUAUGUCAUUAAGCUAUCAACUUUAUUAACUUAACCACCUCACUCCUCUGUUUUGCUUCUUUUCUUAUUAUCCAUCUUCUUCCCCUUUUUUCAAAACUCAAAAUAGAUUGCCAAAGAAAAACUCAAAAACUAACUACUUUAAAAUCAAAAAAGCAAUCCUAAUUUUUUUUUUACUCUCCCCCAAGUUUUGUCAUCAAGAACUAAUCCCCAAAUUCUCUAUGAUAAAACCACUAUAACUACCACUCCUCCUUUAUUUUUUUCUCCCCUUUGUGUUUUUAUGUGAUUUCCUGCUCUCCUUGUUAUGUUUCAAUUAUGAUGAUUGUAAGUCUUUUUAUAAGAUAGAUUAGGAGAAUUUAGAUAAACACAAACUUAAUUUUAAAUUGAGAUUAUUACUUAUUCUUAAGUUCCUGGGUUAUAAACAAGCUUUUUUUAUUUAUUUAUCUUUUUUUAGCAAAUAAUUUAACUAAUCAAAAACAAAACAAAUAAACUAAACAUUAAGAACUAAAUAGAUAAAUCAACAUGACAAAAUAGAAAACAAAUUAAAAAAUAUAUUAAUACAGAUAAUAAAAAAACUAAAAUAAAAUAUUAAUAUAUAAAAAACAAAAUCCCAUAAUUGAGUUUAGAUUAAGUUCGAGCUCAAUUAGUUUUGGUCAUGGACUAAAUAGAAUGUCUAUGGUUGGCUCUCUUUGCGUAUUUUUUAUGCAAUAAAAAUUGUACAAAGACAUAAAUAACCUAUUAUGUGCGGGCCUAAAUUAUUCAAUAAAUUUUUAAAAUUUUUUAUUAUUUUAUUUUAUUUAUGUUUUGUGUGUGUGUGUGUGUGUGUUUUUUUUUUUAAAGAUUCCUUAAAAAUAAAGGCACAUCAUUAUCAAAAAUCAAGGGCUUCUUCAAUAUGAAGGCACUUAACUUUUAAAAAUUAAAGAUAACACUUAAAAGUUUUGACAAUCAUAUCCGAAAGUUUUAUAGAUCGUGGUUAAAGAACUAGAAGAUUAUGCACGGAGGACCUAAAAGAUCAUAUCCAGAGGACUUAGUAAUUAUGUUCGAAAGACUUAAAAGAUUAUGACUUAUAGAUCAUGUUCAAAGGACUUGACGAUUAUAUCUAAAGGACUUGAAAGAUCAUGCUUGGAAGUCAUAUAAAUCAUGCCUAAAAGACUUGGCAAAUAUACUCGGAGGACUUGAAAGAUCAUGCUUAGAGGACUUAGUGAUUAUGCUCGAAGGACUUAAAAGAUCAUGCCAAGAGGACUUACCAAUUAUACUUGAAGGACUUGAAAUAUCAUGCUCGAAAGUUUUAUAAAUCAUGGCCGAAAGAUUUGGUGAAUAUGCUUGGAGGACUUUAAAGAUCAUACUCGGAGGUCUUAUAGAUCAUGCUUCGAGGACUUGAUGAUUAUGCCCGAAAGGAUAUACCUGAAGGUUUUAAAAAUUAUUACCUAGAAGUUUUCAAAGCUGAUACUCAAAAGUUUUAACAAAUAUAUCUUGAGGUAAAAUCUUAUUUCAUCUUUAUAUCAAAGGUUUUUUUUUUCAUUAAAAUUUUAAGUCUACAUUUUUUUCUCCUGGAGAAUAUGCAAUGAAUGCAAUGCAUGAAACCUAUACCAUAUGUCCUUAAUUGUGAUAAUAUGAUUCUCGAAACCUUUUCUUCCGUCUAUUUUUUCAUGAUAUAGCCUCUAAAUUAGUUGACAAGUUCUUUCACAAACUAAAGCAAACAUUUUUAAAAAUUUUCAUUCUCGAAAACCAUUUUUAUGUCUAUAAGCAUUGAGAUUCAAAAAUACUUCCUGAACAUUUAUCAAAAUAUUCACAAAUUGUAAUGACAAUUGCCCUCACACAACUAUCUUUCUAAAAAUGAAUCAAUUUUUCACAUGUGAUCACAUUUAUUAAUACUAGUGAUUACUAUCUAGAAUGAACAUAACAAAUCAAAACUUGGUUUUUCCAAAAGGAUACAAUGGUUUUGCACAUCAUGAUUUUAGUUAUUAAAAAGGUUUCACCACUAAAUAGGAAAGGAAUGUCUCAUCAUUUAGGUCACAAAUGAAGAUCAUUUUUUAAAGAACAAUUUAUUUUAACACUUUUUAAGUUCUUGAUAUGUAGCAUUUUAAUAAAUGUCCAAACCAACUAUGGCAGACUCAAAAUUUCAGGGUUGAAAAAAGAACAAGGCCUAAACUUUAAAGGAAAUUUUCAUAGUGAGAUUUAUCUCCUUAAACUUUUAAAGAAAAGUCUCCAACAUCCCUUACUUUAUUUAAAACAUUUUUCUUCAUGCUUUUCGCUUCAUCCUUAAUACAUAAAAAGUUGUGAGUUAUUUUCAAAGCUUAAAUCUUACUCUAGACUACCCUUUCAAGUUUUCACCCUAAAGCAUCAUUCUCUCUUUUUUUCUUUCCUUUUUUUUUAUGAUUAUUCCAUCAUGCAAUUAAGCAUUGAAAAUUCAUCUAGAACUAAAUCAUAAUGAUUUCUUAAAAAAACAAGCUCUCCAACUUAGGUAUCCAUAUAUGAUUAAAAUGAACUUUUCAAAUGACAUAACUUAGGCUAGGGUUUAGGUUCAAAAGAAAAGAUAACAAGCUCAAAAUACAUUUUUAAGUGAAAUUUAACUAGUCAUCAUUUCUUUUCUAUAAUGACAUUUUUCUUUCCUCAAAACAUACCUUUUCAUCUUUUUCCUUUUUUUUUCACUUUUUUCAUUUUUUUUUUUUUGCUUUUUUUUUCUUGCAUGAGUUCAAAAUUUGUGGAACUUAAUUUACAUUAAACUUCUCUCUUUAACAUAAGGCAUUAUUUCUUAGCCCUCAACAUAAGAUCAAAUGUCAUCUUAAUGAGAUUUUUUUUUUUAACUAGCACCUAAAUUUGAAGGAUAAUCUUUAGUUAAGGUUCGAAAAGAAAAAUCAACAAGUUCAAAAAGGCUAGCAAAAUGAUGUUUUCUUUUUUUAUGAAGAAAAUUUGAAAGAUAGCCAUUUUUUACUUCAAGUAUGGAUAAUUUUAUUGAAAAACCAUUCUCAGGAGAAAAUUUUCUUUUCUCAUUGAUUUUACAUUCCUUUAAAUGUCUCACAUACAUGAUGUAACAAUCAAUUUUUUUCUCUUUUUCUUCAUUUUUUUUACAACUGGUACUCAAUGCAUUUUUUCAACUUUUCACUCAAAUAAAGCAUAACAUAAAAUCUUCCUUUUCACAAUCCAUUUAGAUGUUUUUUAGUUUGAAUAGUUAAAAAGGGUUACUUAGGACAUCAAGUGAUUCAGCUUUUUUCAAUAAAAUUGUCCCCAAGAUAAGGGUGAAGGACCAUUUGAAAAAAAUUGAAAAGGGAAUAGAAUGUUACAUAAGUUAAUAUACUGAGAAAAAUUAAAAAAAUAUGGCUCUGUAAGAAUGUAAGAUUUGUAAAGGAACUUAUACGGUAAAAUGAACCUAGACAUUUAUAAAAUCACCAAAAUUCAAAAAGCUUAAAAGAGUAUCUUAAAAAAUUUACAAAUUAAUCGACUAUAUCAUUGCUUAACCUUGAUAAAUAUCAAUAAUUUUUACGGUUCGUCAUGGUCAAAUGGGGUAAAGUUCUAAAGCUUUCAUUCUUAAAGAUUCUCAAGGUUUUAAAUCUUCUAAUUGAAAUGAAGAAAGAAAUGUUUAGUUAAAUGACUUGAAAUGCUCAUUCUUAACAGUAAUCACCAUAUUUCUUAAGAUAUUUCACGUAUAUAUGUAAGAAUUCAAACAAUCAAAAUUUGAAGAAACCAAAACUUAUUAGAAACUUAUCAAUACACAAAGAAAUAUCAACUUAUAUUAAAGUAGAUUUUCAUUAUUCUAAAACUCUUGGGUCAAGGUGUCAUUGUUGAUAAGAUUUUCAAUCUUCUCUUUCAACUGCCUACAUCUUUCAGUUUAAUGUCUAAUUGUUCCCAUAUGAUAAUCAUAUUUACCAUUUAGAUUAUCACUUGUUUCUGAUAGAUUUGGAUUUAUUUUCAAAGGUAUUGGGGCAAGACAUUGGUGCUUUAUUAGCAAGGACAAAAUAAUAGAGAGAUGAAAUUAGGAUUUUCUUAUGAUUAUUUAUUGAUCCUUUUUUAUUAUUCACUAGUUGAGCAAUGAAAAAUUGGAGAUACAAACUUGUGUAAGGACUUGACUUUUGGAUUGGCCGAUGAAAAUAAGGAUUAUGAGAAAUAUUAUUUAUAGUAGGUUAAUAAGGUUAGUAAAGAUGGUAUGAGGUAAAGCCUCCGACCUGUUUCCCUUUAUAAAUUACAACUUGAACAUCUUCUUUUUCCAUUCUUAGUGCACCAAUUUCCUUUGUAAUAGUUAUAUCAUCACUUUUAAGCUUUCUAUUUUAUAUGAUUUUUUUUAUUAUCUUUUCAAAUAUCACCAUGUUAGCAAAAUUCUUAUUUGUAUUUUCGAUCAUCUUUACAUAGUAUAAAGCUUUAAAAAUGUUGACAAAUAGAAUUGUAAUUUUUUUUCGUUAAAGGUGGUUAAACUUUGGUAGCAACAUUCUUUCACCUUUUAGCAUAUUCUCUGAAGUUCUCUAACAUCUUUCUUUCUCAUACUUUGUAAAGACAAACCAAUCUAGGGCUAACUUUAUAAUAUGCUUGUAUUGGGUUACAAAUGCCAUAACUAGUUCUUUCCAUGACAUGAUGUGAGUUGGAUCACUAGGCAUUUCACCUAGCAGUAGAUCCUGUAAGACUACCUUGGAAUACAUGAAUCAAAAGCUUGUCAUUCAAGAAUGAGCAACCAUCUUUUUGUAAUACAUGGUAAUAUAGGUCACUAGGCAUUUGGCUUUAUCAUACUUCUCAAAUUCUGGGACUUUGAACUUAGGUGAAACAAUCAGAUUUAGCACCAAGUAAAACUUCGAUGCAUCCAUAAAGCUAAAAAAAUCUAUUCCCUCAAUAACUCAAAGUUUAUCCUCUAUGAAAUCUAUCUUCUUUUGGGCGUUUAAAUUGUCUAUUGCUUCAAAUGAACUUUUUUUUAAUUUUUUAGCUUUGCAAGAUUGUUAGAGACUUGGAUUCGAUUAUAUUUAUCUUCGCUCAAAAUAAGAAUAGUGUAUAAUUGGGAUUGUCUUAUGCAACUAGUGAAAGUAUUUUAGGAUGAGAAUAUGUCCCUUAAAGUAAGGCUUGUUGUGAUUGUGCUCUUUGGGAUUUUUGGACUUAAUGUGAACCAAACCUAAUAGGGUAUGGGAAAUCUUUAAUUCUUCAAACGUAGGUUUCCUUCACUUUUUCAUUCAAAUUUUUCAGCAUUUUCAUUAUCUGUGCCAAAUCUCCUUUCAUUUUAUCUUAAGUUUUCUCAACUUUUUCAAUUCAACUAUUUUUUUCUUGCUCCAUUGGUGUUAGAUAAAUAAUAAUUAGAUUUCUUUGAAACUUUUAAUGAUCAAGCCCUUGAACCUUUAUUACCAUAAUUAAAAAUUAAGAUGAUUGCUAGCUAUAAAUUUAUGCAAAUAGAAAUGAUUUAUAUGAAUGAAUGGAUAAAUGCAUUGAGUGCUAUAAUAAAUAAAGAAAAAAUCUUUAAUUAAAAAUUAAAAAUUGUUUUGACAAAAAAUCUCCAAAAACCUGAUCCUAUAUUUCAGCUUCAAGACUUAGUGCUGCUAUGGAUAAGUUCUUUAGCCAUUAUGACUACGCAAUGACCUCUUAACAAUCUUAGGCUUUCCUUUAUCCUUAAAACUCAAUAUGCUAUUUUAAUUAAACCUUGCAUCUUAUGUUUAAAGGCAAAGUAGUUUUCAGUCGAAUGGCUCAUAUUUUUGAAGUGAUAAUCACACUUAGCAUUAGUAUCAAAGCAUUUAGGAUAAAGAGGUUUUAGUGGCUCUAAAGGAACUAGUGCGAUCAAAUAAUUUUUUAAGAGUUAUGAGAAUCGUUUAGUAUAAGUCAUAAGGAUUGGAUCAAUGAUGCCUUUCUCUUUCUUUUUACUUAAUGAUCUUUUAGGUUGAGCAAUUGUUAAGCUUACAAGUGUGGGUUUUGGAGUAGAAUUGGGUGUAUAUGCUCGAGGGUUUAUUGACAAACGUGAUUGCUGGUUAGGCUGAUAGCCAGGGUUUUAGAAAGCAUUAUUCAUAACUAGGAAAUAGUAUGGACUUAAGCCAAUCUAUAAGGGUCGAAUGAAGGUAGGUUUUGUUUGGGAUACCAAAAAAGGUUAUUGAGGAAUGAUUGGUUAAGGAUAAGGAUUUAGAUAUAAGCUAAUUCAGGGAGUUCGCGUGAAGUUAAAAAGCCCUAUUUUUCUGCUUCCUUUUUUAUUUAGUCUUUUUUUGGGCCAUCAGACGCAUUAGUAUGACUUAGACAGGCAUUAAUACGAAUUAAAAGUGAUGAGGACUUUUGAGAACGACCUGUUUCAAGAUUUUUCACCAGCUUGGUAAGUUGCAUUUUUAUUUCUUAUAAGCUUAUGUGAAAAUUCUUCUUGGUUGAGUUCCAAUGCUUGAAUUUGUGCUUCUAAUUGAUCACCCAUAUCUUCUAAAUUGUUGCCACAAAUAAAGCAAAAAAUUUUUAAAUUAUACAAUGAUAUGAUGAAUGCAUUACAUGAAUGAUAAUGAUCUAUGAAUAAGUGAGAUGAAUAAAAAUAAUUGCAAUCCUAUUAAUGUUAACAUGAUUCGUGCAAAAAAAAAAAAAAAGAAUAGAGUUAGCAUCCAAUAUAAAGAAAAUAAAAGAAACAACAAACUAUUGCACAAUUCACAUAUAACGAAAGGUAUGUGACCUAAAUUUAGGUUAUUUCUACAAAAAAAAGACAUAACUCUACCAAUGGAUUAAGUCCAUUACAGCUCACUAUAUGAAUGUUUUGGAUUCGCAAUCUAAAUGUUCUAAAAUUGUUCCUUACCUUAUUAUCCAUGACAAACUAGUAAGACACUUCAAUCCUUACUCUUCACAAGCUGCAACAAAAAAGAUUCAAUUUGAAUGAAAAUAUUUCAAUAGCCAUUGAAGAGAUUAUCAUCCAUGAUAGCAUAGGUUUUUACUCAUUCUUAAAAGCGAUAAAGCUCAGGUAUAGAGCUCAUGUAAUGUAAAUGAAUGUGUAUGUGAAGGAACAUAUACACUUUUCAACCCCAAUUUUUCAUAAAUCAAACAAAAGACAAAAAAACAAAAGAAAAAGUGAUGGCAAACAAAUAGCAAAAUAAUUACAUUUUAGGACCAUUAACCAAAGAAUAGGAUAAAUUUAAAAUUUUAUGGCAAAACUCUCUAUGAUAUUGCCAACGCAGUUGUCAAGUUGUUAUAAUGUAUAGAUUCAUAAACUUAUUGCUAGACAUAAACUUAAAAAAUUACCACCAAUCUUUUUUGUUUAGAUGCGAUUGACUACCUAAUUGCAUCUGUCUUAUUUUAAAAAAAAUAUCUCAAGUUUGACUCAGGUAUCUUAAAAAAUAUAUUUUAAUCCAUGAAAUCAAAUCUAAGUCCAAGAGUAUGACUACAUGUGAAAAAAGUUAUAACAUCCUCACAAUGCCUAUCAAAAAGAUGGUAUCAAUUUGAUUUUGUGUUAUUCAAGCCUUAAAAUAUAUUAGUAGUUUACCAAGUAAUUUAAUUAUUAAAAAUUGAUCUUAAAGUUACUCCAAUCAUUUUGUAACAAUUUAAGAUAAUUUUUUCGCUAUAAGAGUAUUCAUAGAGACUAGUAUCUCAUUCUGAAGAGACAUCAUCAUCAGAUUCAUUAAUAUAUUUUUCAAAAAAAUUAUAUAUUUAAAACUAAUAAAUAAAAUCCUCUAAUAAUUAGGUAAGAUUUUAUUUUAAUGCAUAUUUCCUAAUAGUUUGGUGCGACUUUUUAUUUAAAAAUCUUUUCGUAAAAUUUUAAAAGAAUCAUUAAAUCUUCUAAUAAUUUGAUAAGAUUUAAUUCAAGAUUUAAAUCAUCUAAUCGCUUGAUAGGAUUAAAAAACUGUUUUUCACAAAAAUUCAUUAAGUCAUUUAAUAAUUUGAUAAUACUUAAUUCGAUAUUUAAGUCCUUCAAUUAUUUAGUAUGAUUAAUUUAAAAACAUUUUUAAUUUAAUUUCUUAUCAAAUCAUUUUUUUAAUGUUUAUAUUGGUAUACCUAAUAGUUACAAAAUUUUCGUAAAAUGAUGUACGAAAUAGAAUAGAUAAAUGAAAAAAAAAGCUAAAUGAAAAACAAAUGAUAAAGAAAAGAAAAAUACCAAACUUCGUAUCACACAGCUCAACUUGAAUCCAUAUGGGAUGGAUAUCGGACUUCAUAAAUCCAAAGCUUGGGCCUAAGUAAAUUGUGAAAAACCUCCCCCUCAGUCAAAUGCCAACCCCUUUUUCUUUUAUUGUUUUGUUGGGCUUGCGGUCUCCAGCUUCUUUUUUUUUCCUCUUUCUAGUCUCUAUUCUAUAUAAAAUUAAGCUUAUUUGUUUAUAAAACAUAGUCACUAUUCUCAACGUUUAAUCACGAUACACGAUUCCCUUCUGUUUUCCUUUAUUUAUUAAGCAAUUUCAUUUGUUGUUUCACAAAACCAAAAAAAUUUUCACCGUUGAGGUGUCACCAAGCUGUCAACUCUAUUAACUCAACCACCUUACUUCUCUAUUUUUUUUUUUUAUUAUCCCUCUUUUUCCCCUUUUUUGAAACUCAGAACAGAUUGCCAAAGACAAAACCAAAAACACUGUCAACUGUAUUAACUCAGCCACUUUACUCUCUAUUUUUUUUUUUUUUUAUCCCUUGUCAGAACAGAUAAGACAAAACAAAAACACUGUCAACUGUAAUAUACUGAUUGCAAAGACAUAACUGAAAUGCAAUCAUAUACAUGUUUUAUCUUCCUUGGGUUUUGUCCCCAAAACUAAUCCCAAAUUCUUAAAGAUAAACCACUAUAAUUUAUAUUCCUCUUUUUUUUUCUCCCCCUGUUUCUUUGUGUGAUUUCUUAUUCUCUUGCUGGGUUGUGAUGAUUGCAAGUCUUUUUUAUAGGACAGAUUAGGAGAAUUUCAAAUAAACACAAAUUUAAUUUAAAACUGAGAUUUUAUCACUUAUUAUUAAAUUCCUAUGUUAUCAACAAGGUUUUUUUAGUUUAUUUAUCCCUUUUUAUUAGCAAGAUAAUAUAACUAAUCAAAAACUAAAUAAAUAAAACUAAACAUUAACCUAAUUUAAAUAAAUUAGAUAAACAAUUAAACAAAUAAAUUAAUUAAAAAGAUAAAUCAACAUGAUAAAGUAGAAAAUACAAAUUAAAAAAUAUAUUAAUACAUAAAUAUAAAAAAUAAAAUAAAAUUUCAUAAUUAAACUUAAAUCUGUUCAGAUCUAAUUGAUUUGAACCCCUGAACUAGAUAAUAUAUCUACAUCUAAUAUUAUUAAUGAUAAUUUUGUGAUGAAAAAUUAUACAUAAUAUAACUUUAACUAAUGUAUUUAGUAUUAAUUUUGUUCUCAUUACAUCUCACCUCAUGUUUCAAACUCCCAGUUUCACCUUUAUACAUAACUCAUCUCACUCGCCCAAACUCUCAAUUUCACCUCCAUACAUACAUCUACCUCUGUGGAGGACAGACGAUGCAUUAAUCUAAGAUAACCGGUCACGUAAGACAGGUGAGCUUUUACAUAUAAGAAAAAUAAAGGUUUUUUUUUUUUUUUUCUCAAAAGCACAUUAUUUAAUCACCGUUUAUCGAUUACAACAGAUUUUGGUUAGUUAAUCACCAUACAACGGAAUACAAGUCAUUGGCAUUUAAUGGGAGAUAUAAUUUCCAAAGAUCCAACUUUGUCAUACAAUUAAUGUAGAACAUGCAUAUAAAAAUUAUUUCAUUUCAGUGUUCAAUGAACCAAUAAGAAUCCCGCUGGACUUGCAAUAAAGAGAGCAAAAUGGCUCCCAUUAUCAUAGUUAACUCUACAAGAAAAUGGUUAACCAAUUGGUAUAAUUUACAGUCAAAAGCUCAUUUUCUCUCUCUCUCUCUCUCUACCUCUAAAUAAUGUAUAGACAAAUAAAGACAUUGUUUCAGUCCAGGUAAAAGAGAGUCACAAUCUUCCGGAGAUUCUUGGCUUCUUGGCAUGUUUCCAUAAGCAACUUACUGUCAUGGAAGGCAAAGCAAAUGACUUGUUGUACAUGUGAAAUGAUGUCCCUAUUGCACAGCCUGCAAAUUUGACAUUGACAGCAUGUCAAAUGAAUUUUUGUUUAGCAAACUACACAGAAAAUCAACAAUCCAAUAGCAACAAACUAUUCAUUCUCUAGGCCUACUGCAUAUAUCAUAAUUGCCGCUCUAAGCCUCUCUUUCUACCCCUUUUCCAGCCAAAGUAGUCUCCCGAUGCCUCUUUUCUCUCUCUCUACACCCCUCCAUCCCAUGGUACCAAACUGGUGUAUAAUAGCAAUCUACGACCAAGAAUAAUAAGUUAGCACAGGCUAGCAUUGCAUUCUCCGAUUCUUCCAUGGUAGCCAAUUAGGUUAGACAAAUAUUUCAGAUGUGUUCAUAUACAGGCUUGACCAAAGUCAAACAGAAUAGUGACUAAGCUAUCUUGACUAAACCCAAAAUGACUAGUGCCUCGCACUAAGCCAGCCUAGUACCUCAUAGAAUGAAGUUAAAUUGGCAAAUAAUUACGAGUUUCCACUUGCUACCCAAUGCUUUAUCAAAGCAAACAAGCUCAGCUUAAGUGACAGAACACUAGUUGCCAGAACUGCUAAGUUUCAAAGAGAAUUCCAAGAUAGAGAAUCUCCAACCAUAAACCCUACUACUAAGUUUCACAAGCAUGCAAAUCGAGGAAAUAGUAAUAACACAAUACUUUGUUCUGUAAAGCAACUGCCUUAUCAUUCGAUAAUGUAAUAAUAAGUAGCUCAAAAUUCACUGCAUUUAUGUUAAUAGACUUUCCAGUAUCAGCUUCCCUUUGAGAUCUUAUCACAAGCUCAUUAUUUUUAGCUUGAAACCUAAAACUGACGACUGAUUGUACUCUGCCGGUGUGCUGAAAUGAUAACUGGAAGAAAACAGAGUUAUGACAAACCUGCUGGCUUCUAUCAGAGGUAGAUGAUCAUUAUAAGGCUUCUCUAUCACAGUCUUCACCUGAAAAUUUGCGAGUAAAACAUUAAGUUCACACCAAACAGAAAAAUGUAAUUUCAAUUUCACCUUCCAAAUUAAUUUGAGAUUUUCAGUAAAAGCAAGUUUAAAACAUCAAAUUUACAAUGUUUAAUUAUCUGACUGCACCAGAUGGCAUCAAACUCUUCAUUACUACCACUGGAUCCCUGGACUUGGACCAUGGUGGCAACCAUCUUCUAUAAAGCAAUAAAAUUCAAGCAUAAAAAAUUUGAAACUUGUGUUACAUUUGAGCAAACACUAAGGAUCUCUUAGAUUAUGCUUUUAAGCAAAACCACAACAAUGAGAAUGUGAAAUAAAAACCGUAAAAAAAUCACAUUCUUACUGUAUAAUGCAUAAUGGAAAUAUAACACUGAAUUUACCUUACUUGUGAUAAAGUAUAUCCAUUCAUAAUGUGUCUUGCAGAAGAUUAGGGACCAAAAAUGAAAUUUUCCAAUAAAAAUUUCAAAUGCCUAUGAGCCUUAAGAACUAAAUUUUCUCCUCACUAUUGCAUACAAUAAUAGUCUAUUACAUAGUGCUUAAUACAAAAGAAAUAUCAUAAUUAAACUACUGCAAGCCUUGUACUGGUGUUAAAAGUUUCAACUAGAUACUUGACAGGUCAUCUUUGGGCACAAGCCACAUUCCACGUCGGUAGUGCAACUGGUAAAUCCUUGGUAUAUGACUGUUUCCAAAUGAUACCAAAAGCAACUCGAGCUAGAACUUCCAGUUGAUGGGCCUGUGGUGUUGCAUUGAUAACAGUUUAACAUAAGAAAUGAACAUGAUAUUGCCUGAGCAAACCGAGUUUAACAGCAGUCCUUCAGGUUUCCAGAACUGAUUAUGAAUUUUCAAUAGAAUCUUCUUCUAUGGAUAUUAAAGGCAACAUGUUUACUCAUUAAAGAAACAAAUCUAACAGAUGUAAGGAAAUUAGCAAUGUCAGAUGAAGCCAUAAUAAUAACUAAUGGCACAGGCAAAAAGAUUCCUGAGGAUGAGUAAAUGAUAUUACAACCUAAUUACCUUUUCUAAUAAUUCCUGGCUCUCAGGUGGCUGUUUCUUCAAGCUCUGUGGCAAUAUUACUGUAAGUAACUCAGGUUUCUCUGCUCUUAAAGCACCUCUGAUAACAGCUGCAUUAGUACCUGAUGCACCUGAUGUAUAAAUAUGGUUUUUCUGCAAGCAAUGUUAGCAACAAGGUCAGAAACAAAACAAUUUUUGGUGCAAACAUAUAUAAAUAUAUAUAUAUAUAUAUAUUCAUGGAGAAUAAAGAUAGUGAGACUCAGAAGAUUUCAGCAUGCAACAACAAUCCAUGGUGCCAUAUAGAGAAGGAUAAAUAAAACUUGAAGUCAUUACAUCUUACAGUUAUAACUAAUGCAUAGCUAAGGAUCUCAAUAAGCUCUUGGUGCAUGAACCCCAUAUUCCGUGUCCCAAAAAACCCAAUAGCUCUAGGCCCUUGCUGCUGAAUUGCUAAUAACUCCUGCAUAAAUAUAUGACCAUAGAUAGAAGUUAGCAGUCAAAACAAAUUCCAAAAUACUAAAAUCAGCAAAUGUUUCAAGCNNNNNNNNNNNNNNNNNNNNNNNNNNNNNNNNNNNNNNNNNNNNNNNNNNNNNNNNNNNNNNNNNNNNNNNNNNNNNNNNNNNNNNNNNNNNNNNNNNNNNNNNNNNNNNNNNNNNNNNNNNNNNNNNNNNNNNNNNNNNNNNNNNNNNNNNNNNNNNNNNNNNNNNNNNNNNNNNNNNNNNNNNNNNNNNNNNNNNNNNNNNNNNNNNNNNNNNNNNNNNNNNNNNNNNNNNNNNNNNNNNNNNNNNNNNNNNNNNNNNNNNNNNNNNNNNNNNNNNNNNNNNNNNNNNNNNNNNNNNNNNNNNNNNNNNNNNNNNNNNNNNNNNNNNNNNNNNNNNNNNNNNNNNNNNNNNNNNNNNNNNNNNNNNNNNNNNNNNNNNNNNNNNNNNNNNNNNNNNNNNNNNNNNNNNNNNNNNNNNNNNNNNNNNNNNNNNNNNNNNNNNNNNNNNNNNNNNNNNNNNNNNNNNNNNNNNNNNNNNNNNNNNNNNNNNNNNNNNNNNNNNNNNNNNNNNNNNNNNNNNNNNNNNNNNNNNNNNNNNNNNNNNNNNNNNNNNNNNNNNNNNNNNNNNNNNNNNNNNNNNNNNNNNNNNNNNNNNNNNNNNNNNNNNNNNNNNNNNNNNNNNNNNNNNNNNNNNNNNNNNNNNNNNNNNNNNNNNNNNNNNNNNNNNNNNNNNNNNNNNNNNNNNNNNNNNNNNNNNNNNNNNNNNNNNNNNNNNNNNNNNNNNNNNNNNNNNNNNNNNNNNNNNNNNNNNNNNNNNNNNNNNNNNNNNNNNNNNNNNNNNNNNNNNNNNNNNNNNNNNNNNNNNNNNNNNNNNNNNNNNNNNNNNNNNNNNNNNNNNNNNNNNNNNNNNNNNNNNNNNNNNNNNNNNNNNNNNNNNNNNNNNNNNNNNNNNNNNNNNNNNNNNNNNNNNNNNNNNNNNNNNNNNNNNNNNNNNNNNNNNNNNNNNNNNNNNNNNNNNNNNNNNNNNNNNNNNNNNNNNNNNNNNNNNNNNNNNNNNNNCUCAAGUUUUCUUUGUUUUUAUGAUUUUCAUUCUUGUUCUUUUAGAUCUAAUGUGGCUAUACUCUUUUACUUCCUAAGUGACAAUUGGUGAAGUCAAGAUCUAAACCUACAUUACUCUUAUAUUUUCUUAUUUUGCAAUCAACAGUUGUUUAGUUAUAAGAUUUUUGAGAUCUCAACUUUAGUACUUGAAAGCUACCUAACAUUACAAUCUAUAAUCUCUUGGGAGAUGAAACUAGAAUACUUCCAUUUUAUUACUUAAUCUAUGUACUUACAUGCUAUAUAAAAAUCAACAAUCAAGUUUUUAACACUGUUACUGGAGAUUAUAGUGGUGUUUUCAAUAUCAAUAAGGAUUUUUUAAACUUUUAUAAUCUAAACUUUUUUACUUUUAUUUGAAUUUAUCCUUCUUUGAUAAUUUUUUAUUUGUAUGCACAAAUCCAAAAGUGUUAAUUUAACUCCAAUGGAUCAAAAAUUGAAAGAACUUUUAGAAAAAGAAGAAAAAAGUAGACAAUGCCACCUGCACCUGUACCAAUGACCAAUGCAAAUAAUGAAGCUCAAAGAACUUUGAAAGAUUAUAUAGUUCCCAAUUUUGAUGGUUUCCAACCAUCCAUUCAAAUGUUAGACAUUCAAGAAAAUAAUUUUGAGAUCAAGCCUUCAAUAAUACAAAUGGUCCCAACUUCUAUGUAGUUUGAAGGAUUACAUAGUGAUGAUCCUAACAUUCAUCUUUUAAAUUUUCUUGAAUUAUGUGAUAUUUUUCAUUAUAAUGGUAUUUCUGAUGAUGUUAUUCGACUGAGACUUUUUCUUUUUUCUCUUAGGGACAAGGCAAAAAGUUGGUUGACACCAUACCACUAGCUCUUUCACAAUAUGGGAUGACUUGGUACAAAAAUUUUUGACAAAGUUUUUUCCACUAACUAAGAUAGCCAAGUUGAGAAAUAAGAUCACAACAUUCAUGCAAGUAGAUGGUGAAACAUAUAUAUGAUGCAUAGGAAAAAUUCAAAGAGUUGUUAAAGAAAUGCCCACAUCAUGGAUUACCCUAAUGGUUAUAAAAUUAGUUUUUCUACAAUGGUCUUAUACUAACCAUGAAAACCAUCUUAGACUCAACUGUUGGAAAGGCAAUCAUGAAUAAAACUGCUGAAGAGGCCAAUGAGUUGAUUGAAGAAAUGGCUACUAACAACUAUCAAUGGGGCAUAGAAAGAAAGGUAAGUAAAAAAUCUAUUGGUUUGUUUGAAAUUGAUGCAAUCACCUCUAUAAACUCCCAAUUAGUUGCCCUAACCAAAAUGAUAAAAGACUUAAGAGCCCACUCCCAAUCCAACCAAGUAAAUGUAAUCCAAAAUCCUUUUAUUUCAUGUGAUAUCUUGAAGACCUUAUUUAAGGGAAAAAUAUAAAUUUAGGAUAGAACUUGUCCAAUUUAGCUAAACAACUCAAGCUCAAUUAUAAUCUAUAUAGCAACACCUACAACCAUUGAUGUGAAAUCACUCUAAUUUUUUUUGGAAUCAACCCAAACACCAAUCCAUCAACACCCAAAAUAAUACUUUUGCCUUAACCCACCAACUUACAAUUCUCUUUGAGAAAAGAAAGCAAGUUUUAUGGAUAUAUUGACCCAAUUGAUGCAAGCUAAUAAUGCAAAUAUCCAAAGCCAAAUUGCAUCAAUCAAGAACCUUGAAAAUUAUAUAGAUUAAGUUAGGCCCAAGCCAUAGCCACCACUUUGUAGGUAUCUUACCCAGCAAUAUUGAGUUCAAUCCUAAAUGAUAACACAAGGAAGCUUGUAAUGCUAUCUAUUCUUUGAAAAAUGUUGGGAUUGGAUAACUUUGAUGAAAAGGAUGAUUAUCUUGGAUUAACCAAUAGUGGUAAACCUCUUUAACUUUGUAAAAUAACCUAAAAUAGACUUUAUGGAGAUAAUAUUUGAAGAUAAGGAACUAUUGAGGUUUGAAAGAGAAAUUUUAGAGGAUUUUAACCCUUAGCAACUAAAGGCCCUUGAGAACAUUGAACUUUAUGAGGAAGAUCCUAAGAAAGAAAAUGUUGAGAUGGACUAUAAGAAAGAUCUUAAAAAAUAUUGAAAAGUCUACUAAAGAAAAACAAAUGCCAUUGCAAAUAAAAAGAGCAUUCUUAGAAAUCAUUCAAUUGGAGCCUAAAGAGGUAGUUCAGAGGUGGAAUACAGAGAAAGUUCAAACAAAGCCAAGAAUGAUUGUAAGAAUGUAGGUAAUGUUUUAAUGUAGGCAACCAACUACCUUAAGACCUAUUCCUAAAGAGCUACUUAAAGAAUUUAAAAGAAUGUCACAUUGUAAAAGAUUACAACUUGAACUUUAACAAUUCUUACCCCAAAAGUAAAAAGUUUCAGGAGUUUUACUAUUUCUUGCAAAGUUAGAUAAUUAAAUUUUGAUAAAACUCUUUAUGAUCUUGAAUCUAGCAUAAACUUAAUACCUUUAAAAUUUUUAUAUAGUUAGGUUGUGAAGAGUUGAAGCCUGCUAGAUUCAACCUAAAAUUUGCUAACUAGUCUACUGAGCAACCACAAGGGAUAUUAAAAAAUAUGCUUAUGAAAGUUAACAAGUAUGCACUCUCUGUAAACUUUGCUAUAUUAGAUAUGAAAGGUUAUGAAACUUGAUUAUUAUUAAGAAAACAUUUCUUAUUGACUGUCAAGGCCUUAAUUAAUGUAUAUAACCAUAACCUUACCUUAAGUUUACAAACAAGAAAUUACAAUUUGUAACUGAAAGGUAUGGUAUUCUUAGGGAUAAAGAUAAUGUAAAUGUAGUAGAGGUAAAAGAAAACAUUUAGGAUUCUAACUCAGUAGCUAAACAUCUUGAUCCCUUGAUGCAAAACCACUUGGCAACACCUACCUCUAGUAAUACCAAAGCCAUAAUGAACUUAAGCUCAGUUUAUCGUCGAUCUCUAACCUAGGAAAGUUAGUACACCUUCCUAAGACCAGUCCUGUUUAUAUCUUCCUCAGAGAAGGAUGCAACAAGGUAAAAUCCCUUCAAAGGGAUAAGAUGAUUUUGAUAUAUUUAGAAAUGGCUAAACUUGACCAAAAAGCAUUUUUUGGAAGGCACCCAAGUUUAUUUUAUGAUUUAUGUUUUUUUUAUUUGUAUUAGGAUAUGUGUGUUUUGAUGUUUUAAUAUUUUGAUGUUUUAAUAUUUUUGUUUGAGUUUGUUUUUGUAGGAAUGAAGUGAAGUAAGGAAAAGACUCAUUUUAAGUGAAGAUUCAACCUUAAGCAAAUUUUAUAGAGUAUUUUUUUUCCCUUGCUUUUGCUUUUAAUAUAUUGUUCAAUUUAAAUGUAGAAAAGAAACUACUUUCUUAAAUGCUUUUUGAAAAUUGUGAACCCAUUUUUGCUUUCAAACCAAUUGACUUGCUAGAUUUCAUUGUUAUGCACACUUAGUUUAUUUUGCAUAAAUGUUUCAAGAUUGACUUAAGUUUGAUAUGAAGUUUAAUUAUGAGUAUGGUAGAACUUAAAAAGAAUUCUUAAACCAUGUUUCUUUUCGGAUAUAAUUUUGUACAUAUGUUCUUAUUCUCUUUUAAUAAAAUGCUUUGUUUUGUGAAAGUUUAUGAAAUAUGGAUUUGCAUGAAAUUGGAUGAUUAAGAUAAGUACUCUAAAAUUCAUUUACUCAACCCUUGCAGGUGAAAUCCUAUACUAUAUUUGACUCAAGAGAAAAAACUAGGUAAUUUUUGGACUGUUUAAGCCUUUUUUGAUCCCACUCUAUUAUAAUGUAUCCAUAGUACCUAUAUUUUGAACAUAUUAUAUUAUUUCUUUUUCUUGUUUAUUUAGCUGCAUAAUAAGCCCAAUAAUCUUUUUAUUUGAUUAUUAUCUCUGUAGACACCCUAUUUUAUUUGAAAUUUUUUUUGGGGAUAAAAUUAAGCUUUCAACCGUAAAUUGGGCUCGAUUAGGAAACUUUGGGCCUAAUAGAAAAUAUUUGAUUUAAAUUAAUUUCUUUUAUUUUAUUUAUUUAUUUAUUUGUUUUAAAAAAGUGAACAAAACAAAAAAAGUCAAAAGUUUAAAAAAAAACGAAAAAAGGGAAGAAUGAAAUCAAGAAUUUGUCCAAAAUUAUGUUUGCAUUGAAUUGGAAACAAAAUCAAAUCUUCUUUGAGAAUCUAUCCUAGAUAUCAAAUUGGCAUAAUCAAAUCAUGAAAAUCAUGGAAGUCAACAACAAUUGAAUAAUUUUGGAUAGUCAAAAUUAAACCCCAAAUUUAUGGAUUCGAUCGAGUUAUUCCUUUUAGAAUUAAAAGGAGUUAAGCCCUAUAUAAAUUAUUCAUACAUGGAGAAAUGAAAAGAACAGAAAAUGAUAAGGGGGAGGAAUUUGAAAAAAGAAAAAAGUUUUUCUAGAAAUUAGUUUCCUAGGACUGAGUUUAGAUAAGGCAUUUUCUAAGUUUAUAGAGGUUAGUUGGACUUUCAGUUCUAGGCUUUAAAAAAAAAAAUUGGUUUUAAGGUUUUUUGGAAUUUGUUUGGAAUCCAAAAUUGGGUGUAGAGAUUUUUUGUUAUUAGAUCUUAUUGGAUUUCUUAAGUUGGCUAUUUUCUGGAUUUGAAAGUCUUAGGGUUGUGGAUUUGAUUUUUGGUUUUUAGAAUUCAUGAUUGAAAUUCUGGAAGUUUACUGGAAUUUUUUUUAAGUUUUGAAUGGUUGGGUUGUUAUGGGUUUGUAUAUGAAAUUCUGGUUUUUUAUAAGUUUUCUAGUAAGGGUUUAAAUUUUCUAGUGGAGUCAUGGUGGCCUAAGGGGUUUGGUUGUGAUCGUUACCUACAUUUAUUGGUUUUCUAUAAAAAUUUGCAAUUCCCGACAGCCGGUUGAAUUUCUCAUAUCUAGAACCAAGGUUUUUGGCUUGGCUCUGCAUUUGGUUAAAGUCUCCGAUGAGACUUCUAGAGAGAAGUCAAAAGGAGUUGGAGCUAGAAAGAAAGAAGAGAUUGAAGCAAUUGAAGAAAAAAAAUAAAAUUUACCUUUUAUACUAAAUCAGAACGACAUCAUUUAAGAAAGUUAGGAUCCAUGUGAAAUUUGAGGAGGUCUGUGUAUGACCAUCAGGUGCCCGACCCAUAGUGCAUGUUUGUCCUUUUCUUUUUGUUUAUUUUUUGUUUUUGAUUUUUUUUUAUUUUUUUAUGUUAUAUAUAUAUUAAUAUUUAUUAUUUUGAUUGCAUUAAUGUGAUAAAAAUAUUUUUUUUGCAUGAUGUUUUUAUUAAUUUUUUUCAGUUCUUAUUUCGGCAUAAGUUUAAUAUAUAUUUGCAUGAUAUUUUAUAUCAAUUGCAUGAUAAUUUAUAUAUUAUAUUAUUGCAUGAUAACUUAUGUUUAUUGUAUGAUAUAUUAUUAUUACAUGAUAUAAUAUUAUUUUGCAUGGUGUUCUUUGCAUGCUAAUUUGUGUUUAUUUUAUUUCAUUCUUUUCAUUAAGAUAAAAAGUUUUCAAAAAAAAUGUUUUUCAAUCUUACCAAAUUAUUGGAGAAUUUAAAUCUUAAAUUAAAUCUUACCAAAUUAUUAGAGGAUUUUACUAAUUAUUUCAAAUAAAAUAUAUUAAUGACUUCGACAACAAAGUUGCUUCAAAGUGGGAUAUUAGUCUUCAUGAAUACUCAUGAGGUAACAAAAUUAUCUUAAAUUACUAUCAAAUAUUGAAGUAAUUUUAAGAUCAAUAUUAAAUAUCUUUGGUAAAUCAUAAAUAUGGUUAAAGCUUGAAUAAUUUAAAAUCAAACUAGUAUCAUCCUUUGAAUGGGCGUUAUGAAGGUGCUUUAACAUUUCUCACGUGUAAUUGUACUCCAAAACCUUAAAUUUGGUUUUGUGGAUCAGAAUAUACUAUUUAAAUAUACCUAAGUUAAUCUUGGGACUCAUCUUUAAGUGGGACAAAUUUUUCAGGUGGCCAAUCGCACCUAAAUAAAAAAGAUUGGUGGUAACUCUUUUAAUAUAUAUCUAGCAAUAGGUCUACAAAUCUAUACAUUAUAACAAUCCCUUCUUUUGUUUUUUCCUAAUCAAAUUAUGCUAACUUAUGCAUUAUGGACAUUUUGAUGUAUUUGAGAGGAAUGGAAGCAUAAGGAAUGUAAGAAAAGAAAAUGGCAAAUGCAAGGCAAAGCCUAAUAAAGCCAAAAAUGGCUAAAGUUAAAAAAAUGUCAUAAAUAAAAGAAUAAAGUGAUGCCUCAAGUAUUCAAAGUGUCCAAAAGCUUCCAAUUGUUUAAAAUAAAGUCCAAGAAAUUUCUAAAAAAAAUAAGCUAAAGGUUUUGACCCUAAUUUUCUUUUUCCUACCUUAACCUAAGCCUUACAUCACAAGCUUAAGAGACUUUUUCAUCUUGACUUAACUAUGUAAAUUUAACAUUAGUGAAGAGGGAAAGGGAAAGUGAACAUAUAAAGCAUGUUCUGUCUUUGAGUUGAAAUAUGAUGAAAUAUUUUACAUUCUUUUUACUUAAGUUAUAUGCAUGAAUUAAAGAAUGAGUAAAUGCAUAUACGUAAAGAGCAUAAUAUAUUGGGAGUUUAUUUUUAAAGAAUUUCUUAUAACUCUAUGUUUAUAUUUAGCUUUGUAUUAUGCAAUAACGCGUGAAGAGAACUUUAUGUAAUUUUUUACUUUGUGAGUAUGUAUAAUAAUUUAUAAUUUUGUUGAUUUAAGGAUUUUGCUUAACGACAAGCAAAGCUUCAAUUGUAGGAGUAUGAUAAUACCUAAACAUAUAACAUUUUUACAUGCAAAAAUUGGUAUUAAAUUUUAAAUUUUGUUCAAAUUUUGGUGCUUUAAUGCUAUUUUCUUACAUUUUAGAGUUUAAAAGCCCUUAGAUGAGGAAAACAUACAAUCCAUGUAUGAAAGUGCAUAUUUGGCCAUGCAAGACCAAGGGUUAGUCUAACCUUAUUAGUUCAAUGCCAAUCAACCACGCAACCAAAAGGAAUUUUAUAUGCACAUGGACUCUUAAGUCAUCCUUGUAUUCGAUCAAAGUAAGAUACAAGACUUUUACUUGCAUUAAGACUUAUUUAUGUGGCCAAGCUAUGAAUGUGCAUUCAUAAAUAACUCUCACACCAUUGAGUCCUAUUUAUUUUUUCAAAAGACUCCAUGCAAAUUAAAUGCACAAGGACUUUACCCCAUGCGGCCAAAAGAAAUUUGAACUUUACCAUGACUAUUUUGCUAAGCAUUGAAGAAUUUUAAGCUACCAUAAAGUUUACCCUAUUCGACCAAGAGUGUUUACGUUUGAAAUGGAUUCUUUUUCUUAUCUUUUUGAAGAUUUAUAAGCUACAUCCUAGGAGUUUAGAUAAGAAUCAAUUACCUUGUCUUGAAUUCUAUCUUAGUCAAACCUAUAAGGACAUUUCAUUAAGAAUUAUAUCAAGCAAAGAUUGCAUGGCCAAGAUUGCUUCUAAAGAUAUCUAUUCAGCUACACCUCUUCAAGAAGUAAGAGUCUCAUUUGAUCAAAGCACUUUGAAGAUGAAGAUAAAUCAUAUCUCUUAGCAUUUGAUUUUAAAUCAAAAUCUUCUAAUUUUUGUCCCCGUAUUGCCAAAACCCCCUCUAUAAAUAGAGAAGUCAUUCUCACUUGUUUCAUCAUCCCUCACUUCUCCUCUCUUCACUCUUUUUUUUCUUAGUUUUUCUUUAGUUUAGUUAUUAGCUUAGGUAAUAGAUUUGCCAAUAACAAAAUAUCGUUUCUUUAAAUUCUUUCUUUAAUUUGAGAAAUAUUUAUUUUUCAAAGAUCUCUUUAUUUUCAAGCAUUUUUUUCUUAUUAAAAGUUUGAAUUAUAAUUUCUUUUAGUUUUAAAAAUUUUGAUAAGCAUUCUUUUACAAGUUCAAUUUAAGCAUUCCUUCUUUAAAGUUAAGUUUCAGCCAUCAUCAUUUUACAUUUAAGUUCUUUAGUUUCAUAUUCGACAAUCUCAAGUUUUUCUUUGUUUUCAAGAUUUUCAUUCUUGUUCUUUUAGAUCUAGUAUGGCUAUACUCAUUACUUCCAAGUGACAAUUGGUGAAGUCAAGAUCUAAGCCCACAUUACUCUUCUAUUUUUUUUAUUUAUUUUGCAAUGAACCGUGAAUUUCACUUAUUUAGAUAUAAGAUUUUAAUAUCUCAAAUUUGGUACUUGAAAGCUAUCCGACAUUACAAUCUAUAAUCCUUUGACAAACGCUAUUGGAAUACUUUUUAUUUUAUUACUGAUCUGUGCAUUUGCAAACUAUUACAAAAAGCAACAAUAAGUACUAGACUAUUUGGUUAUGGCAGAAGCCUCCAUAUUUUCUUUCCAAGCAUGGAUUUAUUGAAAAGCUCCAUGUUUCAGAACCCUAAUGCCCUUCUAGACUUCGGUAUUCAUAUAUUUUUUCAUUUCAUCUAGUGGAUGCCUUUUUGAUCAUUCUAUUUGCCGCCAUCAAUACUUGCUGAAAAUCUUAUUGAGUUCUUUGUACAAGCCUUUCGGUAGCAUGAAUUAGUCAUGGAGUAAGUAGGAAUUGCUUGAAGUAUGGCUUUAAUAAAUAUCUCUGUACCCCUAAUUUAUAAUCUUCUAUUCCUUUACCCACACUGGAUUCUAUCUUUUAGCUCUCUAAAAGCCUUUUAUCAUCCCUAACCUACCAUAGAAAGUAAUCCAAGGUAUUUUUUUGGACUUGUUGUUGCAUGGAUGCUAAAUAGAUUAUUUCGUGUUUCUUUAUGCUAAUCAUUUGUGUUACUACUAAAGAACAUAACCGACUUUUCAUAGUUAAUUUUUUGACUCAAACAUUCUUCACAUUUCUAUAGCAUAUCUCUUUCCAUUUCACCUUCGCUUCAAUUCACCUUGGCAAAUAGUAAGCUAUCAUCUACAAAAUAAAUAAAUAAAUAAGUAAUACAGGGCCCAUUACGAUUGGCUUGAACACCUUGCAACAAUCUUUCUCCCUAGGCUUUUAUGAGAACUAAUGACAAUCCUUUAGAGCACAAGAUAAAUAGGUAAGAUGGUAAUGGGUCACCUUGUCUGAAGCCUCUUCCUAGAUAAAACUUGUUAGUAACCUAGCCAUUUACAAUAAUUGAGUAGGUUAUGGAUUUAACGCACUUCAGUAUAAAAGACAUCCAUCUUGAGUUGAAACCUAACUUCUACAUCAUACUUUCCAAAAAAAUGUCACUCGACCUUAUCAUAUACUUUCCUGAUGCCUAAUUUAAAGGCAAAUUGACCAUUUCGACUGAUCCUUUUAUUUUUCAUGGAAUGUAAAAGUUCAUAGGCAAUCAAUUGUCUAUGAUUAAUCUUCCUUAGACAAAAGUACGGUGGGAUUCACUAAUAUAGUAUGGUAGGACAAGUUUGAGUCUAUUAGCAAAUAUUUUAAUAAUGGUUUUAUAUAGAACAUUGCACAAGCUAAUUGGUUUAAAUUGGGUUACAUUUUUCAGUUAUUUAGUUUUAAGGAUCAAAAAAUAUUGUUAUGGUUGAUACCACUAAGGACCCCAUUUCCAUUCAAGAAAUACUAGUUAAAUUAACCACAUUAUACCUAUUAUAUGCCAGAAUAAUUGGAAAAAAAAAAAAGCAGACAUAUCGUCAGGUUCUGGUGCUUUUUGAAGGAUGCAUUUGUCUUAAUACCAUACAAACCUCUUCAACAUUGAACCCAUUAAUAGGAAGCCAUUCAUCUGUUUGAAACUCAGUUUCCAAUAGCCUCAAGAAUAUUUUAAUGAACGUUCCCUUAAGACUGUAAGAGUUGUUUGAUGUAACUAGUGGUUAUUUUCUAAAUAUUUUCAUUAGCUUCACACCACUCUCCAUUUUUAUUUUCCAACCCUAUGAUUGCAUUCACCCAUUUUCUUUGAAAAGCCUUGGCAUGGAAAAAUGCAAUGUUUCAAUCACCAUUUCUAAACCAUUUAUGCCUAGAAUGUUUCCUCUUUAUCUGAGGCGGCGUUCAGAUCUUUUUAAAUCUAUUUCCCCUUUUGUAAAUUUUUCACUUACUAAUAAACUUUCAACCAUUAAAACUCUUUAGCAAGCCUCUCCACCUCAAUUUGAAUAUUCAUGAAUCUGUCCUUCUACCAUUUUGACAAUCAUAAUCCCAUGUGCUUUAGUUUUUCCAGUUUGUUAUCAUUGUUAAUGUCAUAAUCAACGUCACGUACAUCGUUUUCCUCUUGCUCACGGUCAGAUUUCCUUACCCACAUAGCUUUAAAAAGAAACCUUCUAUGUUUUUUCUUAACCGUCUGCCUUGUUGUUUCGCUUCUGUAUACACUACUAUUGGGCUGUGACCUAAAACUAACAUAGUGAGAUAACGAACUUCUAGAAAGGAGAUCUCUCCCACCAUCCUUGAUUAGCCACGCCUCUGUCAAGUCUUUCCUACAUUAUUUUUAGGGUUAUUUCCUCUUUCCCACGUAACUCUAUUGAAGCCUAAGUCUUCUAGUCCAACCUUAUACAAUGCUUCUCGAAAGUCUUCUAUUUGUCUUUCCCUCCUUAAGCAACAUCCCCUUUUUUCAUAAGACCAUAGUAUUUCGUUAAAGUAUCCUAUAACAAACCCAUGGCAUAAAGAAUUGGGAGGAUAGCUUCCUUAGUAGCUCCCAUGAAAGCGGCCUCAACCGGAAUGUCCUGGCUUCCCAUAGAAAAUAGUAAUUCUUCAUUCUUUUAUUCCCGUUCCUUCUUCCACCUCCAUAUCUAUGUGGUUCUUGAGAAGCUAAGAAGUUUGAGCUAAUGUUUGUCUUCCACAUCAUUACUAAGCCCCCCAUUUCUUCCUAGUGCACUCAUUCCAAAGCAAAAAACUCCAUUCAUAUUUUCUCUUAUUUUGUCUAAUUUACUGGCAUGUAGUUUUGUUUUGCUAAGAAAAACUACAUAAGGGUCUUUUUCUUCAAUUAAUUGUCGAAAAACUCAAACUGCUCAUGGGUUUCAAGCCCACAGCAAUUCGACGGAAGAUACUUCAUUGCUCUCGAUGGGAUUGGUUAUUAGUCUCCGACGUUGAAAUAGAAUUUUUCAUGUUGACGUCUAUUUUAAUCCUCCCUUCUUCAUUUGGUUCCUAACUUCAUCAUCCAUUGGAUCUUCCUUGUUUAAUCCAAUUCUAUCACCCAUUCUCUUUUUUGCUAAAUUUAUCGAUGGAACCUUAUCUGCCUUGUUUGCCACUCUAGCCUUUUUUUUCUAGGUCAGGCUUGCACUUUGUCCGUUUGUCCCUACUUCAUUUUCCUCAACUACUGUGGUACUUCCCAUGCUUGCAUUCUUUUGGUUGUUAGUUCCUGUUUUGGUUAUGUCCACGUCAGCCUUCAUAGCCUCAUCAACCUUACUAGUCACUUUUGUUGCAUGAGUUCCACUAUUCCCAUGCAUAUAAUUAAUUUAUACUAGGUCUCACAUCGGAUUUCCUCUCAUUUCCUUACUCGGGUUAACCCCAUCUUUUAUGCAUCCAUGCUUUCCAGUGCUAUCUCUUGGGCCUUGCGGCAUAUUUUCCUCCACUGCACUCGAUUUUGUCAUUGAUUUAAAUUCUACUUUUCGCACAUUAUCUCCAUGAAUGUCAUGAGUUUUAUCCCCUCCGAGUAUCAAUAUCUUUUGACUAUCUUUAACUGUUUCAAGAUUAUCCGACUGAUUUUUUGCUUUAAUUUGACUUUUCGUCUCGCCAACACUUUGUUUAAAAUUCAAUCUGCGGUGAGCUUUUCCCCAUUAUGUUACAUUCACUGUUGAUCUAUUGCCGUUGCCAUCCCUUGCUUCCUUUGAACAUUUGUCGCCAAUCUUGAUGCCACUGUUCUUCUUAUUAAUUCUUGUAUUUGCCAUGUAGGAAGCAUAUCUUUUUUCUACAAGUAAUGCAUGCAGCUAGACGCCAUACUGAGGCUUAACCCCUGCCAUGUCCUCUAUGUUCUCCAUCAACUUGAACUCUACCGUUGUAUGACCCAAUAUACCACACUCAGAGCAAAAUAAUGGUAAACGCUCGUACUUAAGCAUUCCUCUUAUAACUUUUCCAUCACUAUGAGCACCUAUUGCCACAAAUCUCCUUAGAGAUUUUCUUAUGUCCAAUUCAACUCUCAACCAGAGAAACCUUUCCCACUCUAAUAAUCCAUGUUUGAGUCAACUCCUUUAUGGUUUCCAAUCUUUUCCCAAUGCUCUUUCCAACAUUCUUGUUCAUCCAUUUCAAAGGUAGAUCAUAAAUCCUUACCCAAAAUUGUGCCAUAUCAAACUUGUAUUCAGAUGGCCUCAAAUCUCCAUCAAACUCAGCAAAAACUAAGAGGUUAUUUUCAAAAGACCAAGGAGAACCAUCCAUAACCCUUAGCUUAUCCUUCUUUUUUUUUUUUUUGAGCCAAACUUUAAAAAAAAAAAAGUUGGUGUCUAAUAUACUAACUUGUAUCUCCAUGGCCAACUUUCAGAUGACUUUAAAAAUCCUUAUCAUGGCUUCUCUGAUGAAAGAACGGUUGGUUAGCAAUUGACCCACUAGCCAUCUCUCCCUUUCCACCAUAUUUAUCGUACUCGGUAACUCCCUUACAUUAACUCCAUCAUUUUCUUUUUUUAUAAGCGUUAAGUUAUUGCAAGCCUCUUCCAACUUGUCCGCCAUCACUAAUGGCAAACAAACUAAUGACCACUAGUUACUAAGACAACUAAGCCACCUCCAAGACAACUCAGUAAAGGGAUCUCGAAGAUGGAAACUUUAUACUCAGUCGAAACUAAGACUCCUCUUAUAGAGUCAAAACCCAAAUAAGACUCUAACGUGAAUUUUAAUCUCAUGAGUUAAUCAAGUAUCAGAUUGAUAGAAAAGCUAGAUUAUGCAAUAAAAAAUAUAUUAUUAAGGUUAUAAUGAUAAUUUAUUUUAUUUAAAAAGAGAGAAUUCAAUUUAAAAUUUUGUUUCUUUCUAUUUCUUUUUCAUUAUAAAAAUUUGGGUGGGUUUUUGUAAAAAAAUUCAUAUUUUUUUCUCUUUUACAAUUUAAAAUAACUAUAAAUUUUAUUUUUGUUUUUUUUUAACUUUUUUCUAAAAUAGUAAAAAACUUUACCAUUAAUAAUCACUGUGAUUAGAAGCGAACCUAAUCGACUAAGGCCUCCAUUAGCAUUGCAUUUUGGUUUCAAAACACAACUUUUGAAUGCAAAAAUAAUUCUAAACACACUAUAAUUUUUGUUAAAAGCAUUUUUUUAUGGCUAAAAAUGAGUCAAUUUUAAAAGCUAAUUAUGAGGUGCAAUUGCAGUUUGAAAUUUAUAGUUUGGAAAUAAAAUAACCAAAUACCCACUGAAUUAUUUAUUUUUGACAAAAAUCACUUACUUUUUCCUUUCCAACAUCAUGUCUUUUUUAAACUUUUUUAUAGCAUUUUUUAAACACAUUUUUUUCAAACUGAAAAUUUCCCAACUACAACAAUAAUAUCACCUAAUUAACCAAAUUUUCUAGGCCGGUUGUGAUGUGUGCUUCUUGUGGAAAUCAAUUGGCCUUUGUCAAAAGCCCAAUUUCCCAAAUUUUGAUUUUCUUCGAAUUUUUUAUUUUUAAAAUUUUAUUUUAAAGUUCAAACUCAUGCUAGGAGCCCAAGUGAGCUCAUGCUUUUUAGUUGAUUCGGUGAUAAUCAUGCUUAAUUGAAUCACCUCAAGCAACUUCAUUGUUUUCGAGUCUAAAUUAUAAAAAAUAAAGUCAACUGAGCUUGAACAAUGAAUUUUGAGUUUUUUAAUCAAGUCAAAUGAGUACAGCAAUGUAGCAACAGUAAGCUUUGUUUAGCUCAAAUAAAUUUUAAGCUAGGUUGGAUAUGAGAUUCGCAUGAGGUCAUAAUUGAAAAUUGUUUUUUUAUUUGAAAUUAUCAGACAACGAGCAUUGAUUAUUAGAACCAACUAGAACUAAAAUUGAGGAUCAUUUUAUUUCAUGAAAAAUGAUUUUUCAAAAAAUGAUUUUUAUAUUUUUAAUGUUUGUUUGAUAAAAAAUUGAUUGGAAAACGAAUAACGACUUAUUGAUAAACUGAAAAUGAGAUCAUUUGUCUCGAAAUUAUCUUUUUCUUUUCAAAAUAGGAAAAUAUUUUUUGAUAAAAUGUGCUUAUAAGUAAGACUAUUUAUUAACCUCAUGAUUAUAAUUUUAUUAAAGCGAGACUUUGGACAUGAUUUUUUAAGUUUGAACUUAAUUUAUCUGAUCUCUAAUGUUAUUAUAUUAAUUAGAAAUAUUUUAUAUAAUUUUACUUAAAAUAUUAAUAUUAAAAGUCUCUUAAUAUUUUAAUAUUAAAUAUUUUUAUAAUUCUACUUAAGCCAAGCUUUCAACAUGAUAUUUAAACUCGAAUUUGAUUUGAUUCGAACAAAAAUAUUAUUAUAUUAAUAAAAAAAUUUAUUUAAUUUAUUAGCUCAAAGAUUUGAAAUAAACCAAGAGGGGGUGAAUUGGUUGAUAAUAAAAUUUUCAAAAAUCAAUACUUAAUAAGCACAAAUUCUGUAAAAUAAUUUAUUCAAGCAAAUGAACACAAUAAAUAAGAGUAAACUAACGAUCUUAAAAACAAGGGAUAGAGAUAGAGAAUUAGACACCAAGGUUUAUAGAGAUUUGAUUCUUUCUUUAGGCAACUACAUCUUCUCUCUUAGCCUCACUUGCUAAGGACUUUAAUCUAUUAUGUGUUGAAAGUUAUAACAUAGCUUCUCAAAGCUUUAUAUAAUUAACACCACAAACUCUUAAGAGUUAUCCUCCCCUUAAGCUCAAAAUCUCACAAUAUAAAAUUUCUGAAGUGUUAUGUAAACUUAAAGACCAUCUCUAAGGUUAGGUGUUUGUUAGCUUGAAGUACAAAGCAAUAUUGACAAGAGAAUUUAGAAAAAAAUCGAUACAAGAAGGAUUUUUUGUAUUCUUUUCUCUUUUGAACUAGUUUGAAUGCUUGAACAAGAUGAUUGAUGGAGGCAAUAAGUUCUCUUAGCUUUUCAUACUCUUAAUUUACAGUGAAAGCCUUCAUUUAUAUGUAAAAUUGAGUAGAUAAACGUUGUUUUGCAUUUAAUGCUUCAAACUGUAAAAUAUCAGACAAAAAAUAGCUGUUGGGGCUUUAUGGCCAUCAGGGGAUCGAUCCUCUCAUGUAGGGGAUCGAUUGGGUCAAUUAUAGGAAAACCUAAAUUUGUGCAAGAAAACACAUACCUGAUCAAUCAGGUAGUAUACCUGAUCGAUUCAGUACUUGGGUGAUCAAUCCUCUAUGUGGGGAAAUCAAUCCUUUUUGUGAAAUUUUUAACCUAGAAUUGCAUUUUAUAUAAAAAAAACAAAUCGAUUCCUUUAAAGGGGGAUCGAUCGAGUAAGUUUAAAUCCUAACCAAUCAAUCUUUACAGAGAGGGGAUCGAUUGGUUCUUAAUGAAUUCCCACAACUUUAGCUAUCGAAAAAAAAAUGGAUUGAUCCAUUUAACCAAGAGAUCGAUUAGGUAAAGGUGGGGAUCGAUCCUUUCUAUUUAAAACAUGCCUUAAUCCAUUUUUUUUGAGAAUUUGUUUUGUUUUGGCUCCAAAAUGAAUUUUGACAAGAUAGAAAGCUAGAAAAAUGUUCAAUUUAAGAUUAUGAGAGUUUGAUUCACGUUAGGCAAAUUUUUGUUUUGUCAAUUCAAAACUUUUAAUCAAUUCAAGGCUAACAUAAUUUUUAGUAAAAAUUAAAAUAUUAAUAUUAAAAGUAUUUUGGUAUUUUAAUUUUUAAUAUUUCUAUUUUGUACAUUAGUAAAUAUAAAUCUUUUUAAAUAAUAAAUAGUAUUAUAUUAUUAUUUUAAUAAUAAAUAUUAAUAUACUUAAAUAAUAUUUUUAUUAUUUUAAUAAUUAAUAUUAUUUAAUAUAAUAUUAAUAUUAUUUUAAUAAUAUGAAUAUUUUAAUAAUUUUUUAUUAUUUUUCAAUUUAAAAUAUAUUAUUUUAUAUUUUAGUGACUAAUUUAUUUAUAAUACUAUUUUAAUAAUAAACAUAAAUUAAUAUUUUUGUUAUUACUUAAUAAUAGAUAGUUUUAAUAUAGAAUAUAAUUAUUUUAAUAGUAUAAAUAUUUUUAAUAUUUUAAUAUUGAUUAUUACUAUUUAAAUAUUAUUUUACUAAUAAAAAUAUAUUUUAAUAAUAGUAAUACUAUUUUAAAUAUUAUAAAAUAUUAAUAUAAAUAAUAAAUAGUUUUAUUUUGAGUGUUUAAUAUUAAUAUAAUAUUUAAUAAUUAAUAGCAUAAUUAAAAUAAAAUUUUUAAUAUUAAUAAAUAUAGUAAUAAAUAAUUUCAAUAUAUAUUAUUAAUAAAUAAUUUUUAAUAUUUUAAUAUUUAUGCCAAUAUUGUUAAAAAAUAAAUUUUUUGAAAAACAAUCAAACAAUAAAAAAAUAUUUUUCAUUAACUUAUCUAAAUAACAAAAAAUCUUUACUUUUCUAGAAAACGUGAACAUAUUUUAAAAAAGUAAUUUUUAAAGGCCAAUUUCCAUGAAAUAAUUGGAUUUGAGUGUCCUUGUACCUUGAAAAUUUUGGUUCGUAAUGACACUACACUUGUUGUUUAGUUUGGUUUUUACAAGGCAAUUUGGAUUUCACUGAGGCCCAAUCUGUCCUAGGCCUCUAAUGUGUUUGUUCUCUUUUCAGCCUACAAAUUCAAGUAAAACAAUGCAAAAUUCCCCUUUAGCAUCUUUGCUCUCCUUGAAAAAAUGGAUCCCCUGUCCAUACCAUGAUGCUAAUAGUAAUAGAAUACAAACCAUGUAAAAGAACUACGACCAACGGGAUCAUCUUCAUUCUUUUCCCAUAUUUUGCUAAUAGAAAAUAAACAUCAUUAAUUUAGCAACCCUGUGCAAAGCCCCAUACUCUGAUUGGGGUUUUAUGGUCAUUUCAAUAGACCUGCCGACUGACUAUAUUCAAACCCAACUAUCCUCCAAAAAUAAGUCAUGUACUGCCGUGCCAAUAUGAAUUGCGAUCAAGUACAAUCGUCUUUUUUAAACCAAUGGCCUAAAUUUAUUACUUUAAAACGAAAUAUGUUUAGAGCAAUAAAAGAAACAGUUCUUUUCUCACCAAAAUGUAACAUUUCAUGAACUGGAACUGCUGCAUUGAAGCAGUAAAUAUCCAGAAACAAUCCUCCUCAGGAGAACUAAAAAUCAAAUGCACUACAAACAUCAGCCUAGGCGGGAAGAUUCUUGAAUUAUCCUAAUGCAGCUACAGGUCUCAAAGGAACGAAGUGAAAACAAAGGAAAAGAGUAGAGCUUCAUAAUUUCCCCUCUACUUUGCUUGAGGGUGAGAAGCAAUGAACUCAACAGCAAGAUUGAUCGUGCUGAUUUUGUCUGCC
rnacentral:lncRNA from 1 species